rnacentral:rRNA from 1 species
AAAAUGACUCUCGGCAACGGAUAUCUCGGCUCUUGCAUCGAUGAAGAACGUAGCAAAAUGCGAUACUUGGUGUGAAUUGCAGAAUCCCGUGAACCAUCGAGUCUUUGAACGCAAGUUGCGCCCGAAACCAUUAGGUUGAGGGCACGUCUGCCUGGGUGUCACAC